UACGAAGGGGGCUAGCGUUGUUCGGAUUAACUGGGCGUAAAGGGCGCGUAGGUGGUGGCUUAAGCGUGCGGUGAAAGCUCGGGGCUCAACUCCGAGUCGGCCGUGCGAACUGGGCUCACUGGAGCAUAGUAGAGGCAGGUGGAAUUCCGGGUGUAGCGGUGGAAUGCGUAGAGAUCCGGAAGAACACCGGUGGCGAAGGCGGCCUGCUGGGCUAUGGCUGACACUGAGGCGCGACAGCGUGGGGAGCAAACAGG
rnacentral:rRNA from 1 species